rnacentral:rRNA from 1 species
UACGGGAGGCAGCAGUGGGGAAUAUUGGACAAUGGGGGCAAGCCUGAUCCAGCAAUGCCGCGUGUGUGAAGAAGGCCUUCGGGUUGUAAAGCACUUUUAUCGGGAACGAAACAUUGUCGGUUAAUAUCCGGCGGGACUGACGGUACCCGAGGAAUAAGCACCGGCUAACUUCGUGCCAGCAGCCGCGGUAAUACGAAGGGUGCAAGCGUUACUCGGAAUUACUGGGCGUAAAGCGUGCGUAGGUGGUUUGUUAAGUCUGAUGUGAAAUCCCCGGGCUCAACCUGGGAAUGGCAGUGGAUACUGGCAAGCUAGAGUGCGGCAGAGGAUGGUGGAAUUCCCGGUGUAGCAGUGAAAUGCGUAGAGAUCGGGAGGAACACCAGUGGCGAAGGCGGCCAUCUGGGCCAGCACUGACACUGAGGCACGAAAGCGUGGGGAGCAAACAGGAUUAGAUACCCUGGUAGUCCACGCCCUAAACGAUGCGAACUGGAUGUUGGUGUGCAACUCGGCGCUCAGUAUCGAAGCUAACGCG